UGCAUUAGUUAAUUUUUCUCAUGCCUGU
rnacentral:piRNA from 1 species